CAAUAGCGUAUACUAAAGUUGUUGCGAUUAAAAAGCUCGUAGUUGGAUCUCAGGCAUGGGCGCACGGUCCGCCUCGCGGCGGUCACUGUGUGUACUUUUUCCCAUCCUACGCUUCCCGGUUCUUCAGCCCAUGGUGCUCUUCAUUGAGCGUUUUGGGUGGCCGGAACGUUUACUUUGAAGAAAUUAGAGUGUUCAAAGCAGGCAAGUCGCCUGAAUAAUGGUGCAUGGAAUAAUGGAAUAGGACCUCGGUUCUAUUUUGCUGGUUUUCGGAACACGAGGUAAUGAUUAAGAGGGACAGACGGGGGCAUCCGUAUUGCGGUGUUAGAGGUGAAAUUCUUGGAUCAUCGCAAGACGAACAACUGCGAAAGCAUUUGCCAAGCAUGUUUUCAUUAGUCAAGAACGAAAGUCAGAGGUUCGAAGACGAUCAGAUACCGUCGUAGUUCUGACCAUAAACGAUGCCAACUAGCGAUUCGCUGGUGUUGCUUCAUCGACUCUGCGGGCAGCUUCCGGGAAACCAAAGUUUUCGGGUUCCGGGGGAAGUAUGGUUGCAAAGCUGAAACUUAAAGGAAUUGACGGAAGG
rnacentral:rRNA from 1 species